CCUACGGGUGGCUGCAGUGAGGAAUAUUGGUCAAUGGGAGAGAUCCUGAACCAGCCAAGCCGCGUGAGGGAAGACGGCCCUAUGGGUUGUAAACCUCUUUUGUCGGAGAACAAAACCCGGGACGUGUCCCGGACUGCGUGUAUCCGAAGAAAAGGCAUCGGCUAACUCCGUGCCAGCAGCCGCGGUAAUACGUAGGGGGCAAGCGUUAUCCGGAUUUACUGGGUGUAAAGGGGGCGCAGACGGCAAUGCAAGCCAGGAGUGAAAGCCCGGGGCCCAACCCCGGGACUGCUCUUGGAACUGCAUGGCUGGAGUACAGGAGGGGCAGGCGGAAUUCCUGGUGUAGCGGUGAAAUGCGUAGAUAUUAGGAGGAACACCGGUGGCGAAGGCGGCCUGCUGGACUGUGACUGACGUUGAGGCCCGAAGGCGUGGGGAGCAAACAGGAUUAGAUACCCCUGUAGUC
rnacentral:rRNA from 1 species